GUGCCAGCCGCCGCGGUAACACGGGGGGAGCGAACGUUGUUCGGAAUUACUGGGCGUAAAGGGCGUGCAGGCGGCUCUGUAAGUGGGAUGUGAAAUGCCCUGGCUCAACCAGGGACGUGCACCCCAGACUGCAGAGCUUGAGUACAGGAGAGGAUGGGGGAAUUCCCGGUGUAGCAGUGAAAUGCAUUGAUAUCGGGAGGAACACCAGUGGCGAAGGCGCCCAUCUGGCCUGAUACUGACGCUCAGGCGCGAAAGCUAGGGGAGCAAACAGGAUUAGAUACCCUGGUAGUCCUAGCCGUAAACUUUGGGCACUAGGUGUAGGAGGCAUCGACCCCUCCUGUGCCGCAGCUAACGCAUUAAGUGCCCCGCCUGGGGAGUACGACCGCAAGGUUGAAACUCAAAGGAAUUGACGGGGGCCCGCACAAGCGGUGGAGCAUGUGGUUUAAUUCGAUGCAACGCGAAGAACCUUACCCAGGUUUGACAUGUGCCGGACUGGUGUGGAAACACACCUUCCCUUCGGGGUCGGUACACAGGUGCUGCAUGGCUGUCGUCAGCUCGUGUCGUGAGAUGUUGGGUUAAGUCCCGCAACGAGCGCAACCCUUGUCCUUAGUUGCCAUCAAGUCAAGUUGGGCACUCUAGGGAGACUGCCGCCGAUAAGGCGGAGGAAGGUGGGGAUGACGUCAGGUCCUCAUGGUCCUUACACCUGGGGCUACACACGUGCUACAAUGGCCGGCACAAAGGGUCGCAAUACCGCGAGGUGGAGCCAAUCCCAUAAAACCGGCCUCAGUUCGGAUUGCAGUCUGCAACUCGACUGCAUGAAGGCGGAAUCGCUAGUAAUCGCUGAUCAGCAGGCAGCGGUGAAUAUGUUCCCGGGCCUUGUACACACCGCCCGUCAAGCCACGAAAGUUGGCAGUACCCGACGUCGCUAUCCUAACCGCAAGGGGGGAAGCGCCUAAGGUAAGGCCACUGAUUGGGGCUAAGUCGUAACAAGGUAACC
rnacentral:rRNA from 1 species